UGAGUAACACGUGAGUAACCUGCCCUUGACUUCGGGAUAACUCCGGGAAACCGGGGCUAAUACCGGAUAUGAGCCGCCUUCGCAUGGGGGUGGUUGGAAAGUUUUUCGGUCAGGGAUGGGCUCGCGGCCUAUCAGCUUGUUGGUGGGGUGAUGGCCUACCAAGGCGACGACGGGUAGCCGGCCUGAGAGGGCGACCGGCCACACUGGGACUGAGACACGGCCCAGACUCCUACGGGAGGCAGCAGUGGGGAAUAUUGCACAAUGGGCGAAAGCCUGAUGCAGCGACGCCGCGUGAGGGAUGAAGGCCUUCGGGUUGUAAACCUCUUUCAGCAGGGAAGAAGCGCAAGUGACGGUACCUGCAGAAGAAGCGCCGGCUAACUACGUGCCAGCAGCCGCGGUAAUACGUAGGGCGCAAGCGUUGUCCGGAAUUAUUGGGCGUAAAGAGCUCGUAGGCGGUUUGUCGCGUCUGGUGUGAAAACUCGAGGCUCAACCUCGAGCUUGCAUCGGGUACGGGCAGACUAGAGUGCGGUAGGGGAGACUGGAAUUCCUGGUGUAGCGGUGGAAUGCGCAGAUAUCAGGAGGAACACCGAUGGCGAAGGCAGGUCUCUGGGCCGCAACUGACGCUGAGGAGCGAAAGCAUGGGGAGCGAACAGGAUUAGAUACCCUGGUAGUCCA
rnacentral:rRNA from 1 species